CUUGAUCAAUUAUAAGAGGUCAAGCCUGCCCAGUGACAUUGUUCAACGGCCGCGGUAUCCUAACCGUGCGAAGGUAGCGUAAUCACUUGUCCUUUAAAUAAGGACUAGUAUGAACGGCUUCACGAAGGCUAUACUGUCUCCUUAAUCUAAUCAAUUAAACUAAUCUCCCCGUGAAGAAGCGGGGAUUCAUCUAUAAGACGAGAAGACCCUAUGGAGCUUUAAACAUCUAAGACACUUGAUUUUUACCUACUAAACUUCAUGCAACCUAUCCUUUUGUCUUAAGUUUUAGGUUGGGGUGACCACGGAGAAAAAUUAAACCUCCACGUAGAAAGAAAAUUCUUUUCUAAGCAAAAAGCCACAUCUUAAUGCAUCAAUAUAUUGACUUAACUUGACCCAAUUUCUUGCUCAACGAAC
rnacentral:rRNA from 1 species